GACGAACGCUGGCGGCGUGCUUAACACAUGCAAGUCGAACGGAAAGGCCCUGCUUUUGUGGGGUGCUCGAGUGGCGAACGGGUGAGUAACACGUGAGUAACCUGCCCUUGACUUUGGGAUAACUUCAGGAAACUGGGGCUAAUACCGGAUAGGAGCUCCUGCUGCAUGGUGGGGGUUGGAAAGUUGCGGCGGUUGGGGAUGGACUCGCGGCUUAUCAGCUUGCUGGUGGGGUAGUGGCUUACCAAGGCUUUGACGGGUAUCCGGCCUGAGAGGGUGACAGGGCACAUUGGGACUGAGAUAGGGGCCAGAGUCCAACGGGGGGCAGCAGUGGGGAAUAUUGCACAGUGGGCGGAAGCCUGAUGCAGCAACGCCGCGUGCGGAAUGACGGCUUUCAGGGUGUAAACCGCUUUCGCCUGUGACGAAGCGUGAGUGACGGUAAUGGGUAAAGAAGCACCGGCUAACUACGUG
rnacentral:rRNA from 1 species